rnacentral:ncRNA from 1 species
AAAGCCUGCUGCCUCCUUUAUCACUGCAGGUACUCGGUCAUGCUGUGGGUUCAUCGGACCUUAGACGUUUAUCGUCGAGGGUAUGACGUGAGGGGGGGUUAAAUGCCC